AUUGAACGCUGGCGGCAGGCCUAACACAUGCCAGUCGAACGGUAACAGGAAGCAGCUUGCUGCUUUGCUGACGAGUGGCGGACGGGUGAGUAAUGUCUGGGAAACUGCCUGAUGGAGGGGGAUAACUACUGGAAACGGUAGCUAAUACCGCAUAACGUCGCAAGACCAAAGAGGGGGACCUUCUGGCCUCUUGCCAUCGGAUGUGCCCAGAUGGGAUUAGCUAGUAGGUGGGGUAACGGCUCACCUAGGCGACGAUCCCUAGCUGGUCUGAGAGGAUGACCAGCCACACUGGAACUGAGACACGGUCCAGACUCCUACGGGAGGCAGCAGUGGGGAAUAUUGCACAAUGGGCGCAAGCCUGAUGCAGCCAUGCCGCGUGUAUGAAGAAGGCCUUCGGGUUGUAAAGUACUUUUGGCGGGGAGGAAGGGAGUAAAGUUAAUACCUUUGCGCAUUGACGUUACCCGAAGAAGAAGCACCGGCUAACUCCGUG
rnacentral:rRNA from 1 species